rnacentral:sRNA from 2 species
AUUCCGAUCAUUGGGGAGUAACCGUUAGACAUUCCGGUGUCUAAGACAGGGUCAACAUACUUGAUUAAAUAAAUCAUGGCACUGUCGGUUUUCAGCUUGGUGAGACCAACGAUAAAAGGCGGCCGCCGGUCUGUCUGUUUUAUCGUUGAUUUUACUUACCGGCAGAAAA